UCUAACAAGAGUUUUUGUUUUGCUUUUUAAUAAAGAAGAGAAAGGGGUUCCUUGGUUUUCUCCACAGAUGAAUGUUUUUACAAAAAAAGAGUAGUUUUGGAUGUAUACAUGCCACUUAGGAAAACCUUUUGUCCUUGAUCGCUUUUAAAACCCUUUUUUGGACAUCAUCAGGUCAUUUUGCGUAUUUUUUCGCUUUCUCUUAUAUUGUGGAUAUUUUAUCCCUGUCUUUCACAGCAGCAAUUUUAAUAAACAGAUGCCUGCAGCAUUUCACCACUACACAAGAGCUACUCGCGCUCGGGCAGGCGCACACCUGCCUGUGUACACAGGUCCUCGCACAGCACGGCAAACGCAGCCAGGCCUUUGGGACACAGGCCUCUGAAGUGUAAGUUAGCAGCCCUCACCCCGACAAGCUUCUAAAGACCAAAAAUACCUCUAUCCUCCACUACAUAAAGCUUGUGAGUAGCAAAACUUGUAAAAAUGAAGUGUACAAAAGGAAACAUCCGUAUAAUACAUUUGCACCCUGUAUACAAUGGGUCCCUUUGAAACUGGCCAACAGUCAGCGAUGGCAGAUUUUCAAUCAUAGAAAAAGAAGCCAGUGGCUGUCAUGCGCACUCAGGUCAAUGGUUUGUGUGGGUUCUCCAGAGAGAGAGAUUUUCCUUUACAGUUACAGUACUUGCUGGCGAUCUUGCUGAUUAAAAGGCCAGUUGAAUUUCCUGGCAUUUAGGCAAGUAACAUUUGAUUGUCACAACGUACAAUUCUGAGACAAUAAAUACAAGUAGAUCAGAUGCAUUUCUUCAUUGUAUCAAGUAACUCCAGUUUAAUGUAAUACAAUUUAGUGCAUUUCAGUAUCUCAUUCACAGUUCGACUUCUGUCCAAAUACUUGUGCAACA
rnacentral:lncRNA from 1 species